GGAGCUGUAGCUCAGUGGCAGAGCACUUGCCUUGCACAUGUGAGGCACUGUGUUCAAUCCUCAGCUCCA
rnacentral:tRNA from 1 species